rnacentral:tRNA from 1 species
GGUCGGAUGCUCAGUGGUUAGAGCAUCCUAACAGUGUUACAGAGGUCGUGGGUUCAAUUCCUACCUGACCG